AGAGUUUGAUCCUGGCUCAGAACGAACGCUGGCGGCGUGGAUAAGACAUGCAAGUCGAACGAGAGAAUUGUUAGCUUGCUAAUAAUUCUCUAGUGGCGCACGGGUGAGUAACACGUGAGUAACCUGCCCCCGAGAGCGGGAUAGCCCUGGGAAACUGGGAUUAAUACCGCAUAGAAUCGCAAGAUUAAAGCAGCAAUGCGCUUGGGGAUGGGCUCGCGGCCUAUUAGUUAGUUGGUGAGGUAACGGCUCACCAAGGCGAUGACGGGUAGCCGGUCUGAGAGGAUGUCCGGCCACACUGGAACUGAGACACGGUCCAGACACCUACGGGUGGCAGCAGUCGAGAAUCAUUCACAAUGGGGGAAACCCUGAUGGUGCGACGCCGCGUGGGGGAAUGAAGGUCUUCGGAUUGUAAACCCCUGUCAUGUGGGAGCAAAUUAAAAAGAUAGUACCACAAGAGGAAGAGACGGCUAACUCUGUGCCAGCAGCCGCGGUAAUACAGAGGUCUCAAGCGUUGUUCGGAAUCACUGGGCGUAAAGCGUGCGUAGGCUGUUUCGUAAGUCGUGUGUGAAAGGCGCGGGCUCAACCCGCGGACGGCACAUGAUACUGCGAGACUAGAGUAAUGGAGGGGGAACCGGAAUUCUCGGUGUAGCAGUGAAAUGCGUAGAUAUCGAGAGGAACACUCGUGGCGAAGGCGGGUUCCUGGACAUUAACUGACGCUGAGGCACGAAGGCCAGGGGAGCGAAAGGGAUUAGAUACCCCUGUAGUCCUGGCAGUAAACGGUGCACGCUUGGUGUGCGGGGGAUCGACCCCCUGCGUGCCGGAACUAACGCGUUAAGC
rnacentral:rRNA from 1 species